GUACCUGCCUUGUACUGGGGGAUAGCAGCUGGAAACGGCUGGUAAUACCGCAUAAGGUUGCAUGACAAAAACUCCGGUGGUAUAAGAUGGACCCGCGUCUGAUUAGCUAGUUGGUGAGAUAACAGCCCACCAAGGCGACGAUCAGUAGCCGACCUGAGAGGGUGACCGGCCACAUUGGGACUGAGACACGGCCCAGACUCCUACGGGAGGCAGCAGUGGGGAAUAUUGCACAAUGGAGGAAACUCUGAUGCAGCGACGCCGCGUGAGUGAAGAAGUAAUUCGUUAUGUAAAGCUCUAUCAGCAGGGAAGAUAGUGACGGUACCUGACUAAGAAGCUCCGGCUAAAUACGUGCCAGCAGCCGCGGUAAUACGUAUGGAGCAAGCGUUAUCCGGAUUUACUGGGUGUAAAGGGAGUGUAGGUGGUCAUGCAAGUCAGAAGUGAAAAUCCGGGGCUCAACCCCGGAACUGCUUUUGAAACUGUA
rnacentral:rRNA from 1 species